rnacentral:rRNA from 1 species
UACGUAGGGUGCAAGCGUUGUCCGGAUUCAUUGGGCGUAAAGAGCGUGUAGGCGGCCAGGUAGGUCGGUUGUGAAAACUGGAGGCUCAACCUUCAGAGGUCGACCGAAACCAUCUGGCUAGAGUCCGGGAGAGGAGAGUGGAAUUCCUGGUGUAGCGGUGGAAUGCGUAGAUAUCAGGAAGAACACCGGUGGCGAAGGCGGCUCGCUGGGCCAGUUCUGACACUCAUCCGCGAAAGCGUGGGGAGCAAACAGG